ACAUAAUUUGGCCAAUUUGCAUAAAAAAUUCACAAAUUUUGAACAUUUGCAAAACUGGGCCGCAUUUUUUGUUUUGCAGAUUUGAUCCGAAUUUUUCACCAGCUGAAGAAAAUGCCUCUCGUCUUUCUCCGUCUCACUCGUAUUCGCUCAGAUACGUAUACCUUACUGUACGACGACUAUCGGCGCAUUAAAUGCGCUACGCGCCCGGAUUACGCAGCUGUCUAGUCAUCAGAGGACGAAUCGAAUCAGUCCCGCCAUUCGCCAGCCUUAGUGUUUACUGUUCAGAUUUUAAAAAUUU
rnacentral:lncRNA from 1 species